AAGCGGUGGAGCAUGUGGUUAAUUCGAAGCAACGCGAAGAACCUUACCAGGUCUUGACAUCCCGAUGCUAUUCUAGAGAUAGAAGUUACUUCGGUACAUCGGUGACAGGUGGUGCAUGGUUGUCGUCAGCUCGUGUCGUGAGAUGUUGGGUUAAGUCCCGCAACGAGCGCAACCCCUAUUGUUAGUUGCCAUCAUUCAGUUGGGCACUCUAGCGAGACUGCCGGUAAUAAACCGGAGGAAGUGGGGAUGACGUCAAAUCAUCAUGCCCCUUAUGACCUGGGCUACACACGUGCUACAAUGGUUGGUACAACGAGUUGCGAGUCGGUGACGGCGAGCUAAUCUCUUAAAGCCAAUCUCAGUUCGGAUUGUAGGCUGCAACUCGCCUACAUGAAGUCGGAAUCGCUAGUAAUCGCGGAUCAGCACGCCGCGGUGAAUACGUUCCCGGGCCUU
rnacentral:rRNA from 1 species